rnacentral:rRNA from 1 species
UACCAUGCAGUCGAACGGCAGCACAGGAGAGCUUGCUCUCUGGGUGGCGAGUGGCGGACGGGUGAGGAAUACAUCGGAAUCUACUCUGUCGUGGGGGAUAACGUAGGGAAACUUACGCUAAUACCGCAUACGACCUACGGGUGAAAGCAGGGGACCUUCGGGCCUUGCGCGAUUGAAUGAGCCGAUGUCGGAUUAGCUAGUUGGCGGGGUAAAGGCCCACCAAGGCGACGAUCCGUAGCUGGUCUGAGAGGAUGAUCAGCCACACUGGAACUGAGACACGGUCCAGACUCCUACGGGAGGCAGCAGUGGGGAAUAUUGGACAAUGGGCGCAAGCCUGAUCCAGCCAUACCGCGUGGGUGAAGAAGGCCUUCGGGUUGUAAAGCCCUUUUGUUGGGAAAGAAAUCCAGCUGGCUAAUACCCGGUUGGGAUGACGGUACCCAAAGAAUAAGCACCGGCUAACUUCGUGCCAGCAGCCGCGGUAAUACGAAGGGUGCAAGCGUUACUCGGAAUUACUGGGCGUAAAGCGUGCGUAGGUGGUCGUUUAAGUCCGUUGUGAAAGCCCUGGGCUCAACCUGGGAACUGCAGUGGAUACUGGGCGACUAGAAUGUGGUAGAGGGUAGCGGAAUU